rnacentral:rRNA from 1 species
UACGUAGGGUGCAAGCGUUGUCCGGAAUUAUUGGGCGUAAAGAGCUCGUAGGCGGUCUGUCGCGUCGGCUGUGAAAACCCGGGGCUCAACCCCGGGCCUGCAGUCGAUACGGGCAGACUAGAGUGCGGUAGGGGAGACUGGAAUUCCUGGUGUAGCGGUGAAAUGCGCAGAUAUCAGGAGGAACACCGGUGGCGAGGGCGGAUCUCUGGGCCAUUACUGACGCUGAGGAGCGAAAGCGUGGGGAGCGAACAGG